CCUACGGGGGGCUGCAGUGGGGAAUUUUGCGCAAUGGGGGCAACCCUGACGCAGCAACGCCGCGUGAGUGAUGAAGGCCUUCGGGUCGUAAAGCUCUGUCAGAGGGGAAGAGAUGCAGGUGGUGAACAACCAUUCUGUUUGACGGUACCCUCAAAGGAAGCACCGGCUAACUCCGUGCCAGCAGCCGCGGUAAUACGGAGGGUGCGAGCGUUGUUCGGAAUUAUUGGGCGUAAAGCGCGUGUAGGCGGUUUGUUAAGUCGGAUGUGAAAGCCCCGGGCUCAACCGGGGAAGUGCAUUGGAUACUGGCAGACGUGAGUACGGGAGAGGAGAGUGGAAUUCCCAGUGUAGGAGUGAAAUCCGUAGACAUUGGGAGGACCACCGGGGGCGAAGGCGGCUCUCUGGACCGAUACUGACGCUGAGACGCGAAAGCGUGGGGAGCAAACAGGAUUAGAUACCCCGGUAGU
rnacentral:rRNA from 1 species